rnacentral:misc_RNA from 1 species
GAUGAAGAACGUAGCGAAAUGCGAUAAGUAAUGUGAAUUGCAGAAUUCAGUGAAUCAUCGAAUCUUUGAACGCACAUUGCGCCCAUUAGUAUUCUAGUGGGCAUGCCUGUUCGAGCGUCAUUAAUUCCACUUAAGCCCUGCUUAGUGUUGGGAAUCUACUCUAGUGGUGCUACCCUGGAGCUACCCCUGAAAGGGGGCUGGCCCGGUAGCUACCCUGUAGUUCCUCAAAGAUAGUGCGCGGAGUUGCGUGGUCCUCUGAGCUUAGUAACUAUACACCUAGCUUUUGAGUGUACAGCGGCGCCUGCCGUUUAAACCCCAUCUUUUAAUGGUUGACCUCGGAUCAGGUAGGAAUACCCGCUGAACUUAAGCAUAUCAAUAAGCGGAGGA